rnacentral:miRNA from 2 species
AAUCCCUUAUAUUAUGGGACGG